rnacentral:rRNA from 1 species
GUGCCAGCAGCCGCGGUAAUACGGAGGGUGCAAGCGUUGUCCGGAUUUAUUGGGUUUAAAGGGUGCGUAGGCGGAUUAAUAAGUCAGUGGUGAAAGCCGGCAGCUCAACUGUCGAAUUGCCAUUGAUACUGUUAGUCUUGAGUAUAGUUGAGGUAGGCGGAAUGAGUCGUGUAGCGGUGAAAUGCAUAGAUAUGACUCAGAACACCGAUAGCGUAGGCAGCUUACUAAGCUAUAACUGACGCUGAGGCACGAAAGCGUGGGGAGCGAACAGGAUUAGAUACCCGUGUAGUCC